rnacentral:rRNA from 1 species
UACAGAGGGGGCAAGCGUUAUUCGGAAUUAUUGGGCGUAAAGGGCGCGUAGGCGGCUUUGCAAGUGACGGGUGAAAUCCCUCGGCUUAACCGAGGAACUGCCUGUCAAACUGCAUGGCUUGAGACCGGGAGAGGUGAGUGGAAUUCCCAGUGUAGCGGUGAAAUGCGUAGAUAUUGGGAGGAACACCAGUGGCGAAGGCGGCUCGCUGGACCGGUACUGACGCUGAUGCGCGAAAGCGUGGGGAGCAAACAGG